UAAACGGCUCUUUUUAGAGCCAGCCAUUUUAAAAAAAAGAUUCCU
rfam:Ciona savignyi cont_64515, whole genome shotgun sequence.